rnacentral:misc_RNA from 1 species
AGCAGCCGCGGUAAUUCCAGCUCCAAUAGCGUAUAUUAAAGUUGUUGCAGUUAAAAAGCUCGUAGUUGAAUUUCGGGACUAAUAUGUCGGUCGUACUUUGUACGUACUAGCAUUAUUGGUUUCUCCCUUCUGACGAACCACGAUGUCAUUAAUUUGGUGUCUUGGGAAAUCAGGACUGUUACUUUGAAAAAUUAGAGUGUUUAAAGCAAGCUCGCGCUUGAAUACAUUAGCAUGGAAUAAUGAAAUAGGACGUUUGAUUCUAUUUUGUUGGUUUCUAGGAUCGACGUAAUGAUUAAUAGGGAUAGUUGGGGGCAUUAGUAUUCAAUUGUCAGAGGUGAAAUUCUUGGAUUUAUUGAAGACUAACUACUGCGAAAGCAUUUGCCAAGGAUGUUUUCAUUAAUCAAGAACGAAAGUUAGGGGAUCGAAGACGAUCAGAUACCGUCGUAGUCUUAACCAUAAACUAUGCCGACUAGGGAUCGGAUGAUGUUAAUUUUUUAAUGACUCAUUCGGCGCCUUACGG